CCUGCCUCUGCUCUUUUUCCCUUCUUUUGAGACAGGGUCUCACUUUGUCGCCCAGGCUGGGUGCACUGGCACAAUCUUCACUCACUGCAGCCUCAACUUCUCCAGCUCAAGAGAUCCUCCUGCCUCAGCCUCCUGAGUAGCUGGGUCUACAGGUAUGAGACACCACAGCCAGCUAAUUUUUUUUUUUUUUUUUUUUUGUAGAGAUGGGUUUUGCCAUAUUGUCCAGGCUGAUUUUGAACUCCUGGGGUUAAGCAAUCCACCUGUCUCAGCCUCCCAAAGUGUUGAGGUUACAGGUGUGAGCCACUGCAUCUGGCUUCCUCUGCUGAUUCUUAGCAGGAACAUCAGUUUAUAUGUUGUCAAGUUGACCCACCUAGCUGACCUUUCACUGAGAAAGAAUGCUGGGAAAAAAUCAAAACACCCUCAUUUUACAGAUGGAGAAAUUGGCUCAGAGAGGUGAAGUGGCUUCCUGAGAUCACACAGUGAAUAUGUGACCAAGGAGGACCUGAAACCAACCCACCCAACAUCAAAGCCUGUGCGCUUUCCACCAGGCUGAGGUGUCCACCCCUGUGGUCAGUGUGUGUCUCAGUGUGGGACAAAGGAAAAACCAUGCAGCUUUGGAGGUCUCCAAACCUCCCAGUUUAGGAUAAACCCCUCAAUUAUGCUUGAAGUUGGACCAGCUUUUGAAACCUCUACUGGACAUUCUUUUCCCAUCAAGUUCCUUGAAAUGUCUCUUUAAAAUACAUCUAGGAAAAGCCACUCUCAUUAGCCAGAGUCUGACUUUAUUUUCCUAAUAAACAGACCUCCAGUAAGACAAAAGAGCCUCUUUUAUUUUCAAUCAAUUCUUGAAUAUUUCAGUGGAUUUUCUUCUGUUUGGCUUGAAAUUGUGAUCUGGGAAAGGCUGGUCCUGCGAAUUGUCCUCCUGUAUAAGGGAAGCCCCUUGAGGAUCCUCAACUUGUUAUUUUUAAUCACUGUAAUCUCCUUUUCAAAGGAGGCCCUGGCCAGAAACAGAGCAGGCCUUUCAGAGCUUUCUAAAGCACAAUUAUUGCCGUUGGAGGGAGGGGGGACUGUGGGAAGAGGGAGGGAGAGUAGAGAGAAGUGGUGGGAAAGAAAAGGAAAUCAAUAUAAUACUAACAACUUGGAAAAGACAAAAUAAUGAUCUCAACUGGAUUCAGGUUUUGGGGAAGAAACUCCAUGUUUCAGUCUUUUUUAAUAGUGACCAUUUUAUUCCGGUCUAGAGUACCUAAAGACUGUACUUAGACAGCAGGCACAAAGAACAGAAGCUGCUUGGGGAUGAACUGGAAUACUGUGGACAAAGAUUUGAGGCAGGAAAACAAGUCAUUGAUUCCAAGGAUUGUGAGGAAUCCUAAUUCAUGAAAAAAUUAAAAAGCAAAUAGAACACCAGGGGAAUGCCAGCUUCACAGCCUUAAGUCAGGACAAUGAGCAGAAUGUGUUUGAGUUACUUUUAACAUAAUUAUUCUAAGAAAGAAGGAGCCAACAGAAAAUGUCACAAACUAGGCCAGUACCUUUUCUUUCGGACUUUGAGUGGCAGAAUCAGGUUUGCUAAUUGCAGGAUAUUUACUUGGAAAACCUCAGCAUGGUUCCUGCAAGAUCUCUUCCAAGGUCUUUUAGCCAUAAGAAGGGAGAAAAGAUGAUUGCCCAAUCUAUAGCCUGAGUUGGGGUGUCAAAGUCCAGAUGGCUGUUUAGGCAGGAGUAGCCUGUAGGGUGAAAGUCCAGGACACUCCCUAUCCAGUCCCAGUUCCCCACCUGCUGGCCCUGGACGUUUAGGUAGUUCUGAAACCUCUUUGGCCCCGUGAAUACCAGCUGUAUCUCCUUCCCAGUGCUAGGGCCACCAGCUGCCAAUGCUCAACUAAAACACGGAGGAUUAGUGUGAAAAGAGACGCUGGGUACACUUGGCCUGAACCUCAGACUAGUCUAAGUCACUGAAAAAAUCUUCCUGGGCUUGCAUUAGCAACAGUCUUAGGCAAGGCUCCUGAUAUGAAAAAA
rnacentral:lncRNA from 10 species